CGCUGUCGCGUGCCUAAUACAUGCAAGUCGAGCGGACAGAUGGGAGCUUGCUCCCUGAUGUCAGCGGCGGACGGGUGAGUAACACGUGGGUAACCUGCCUGUAAGACUGGGAUAACUCCGGGAAACCGGGGCUAAUACCGGAUGCUUGAUUGAACCGCAUGGUUCAAUUAUAAAAGGUGGCUU
rnacentral:rRNA from 1 species